GAUGAACGCUGGCGGCGUGCUUAACACAUGCAAGUCGAACGGGAUCCAAGGGGUGCUUGCACUUUUUGGUGAGAGUGGCGAACGGGUGAGUAACACGUGAGUAACCUGUCCUUUUCUUUGGGAUAAGCAUUCGAAAGGGUGUUUAAUACCUUAUGUUCUGUCUGCCUCGCAUGGGGUGGGUGGGAAAGGCUUUGGCCGGAUUUGGGUGGGCUCGCGGUCUAUCAGCUUGUUGGUGGGGUGAUGGCUUACCAAGGCUUUGACGGGUAGCCGGCCUGAGAGGGUGGUCGGUCACAUUGGGACUGAGAUACGGCCCAGACUCCUGCGGGAGGCAGCAGUGGGGGAUAUUGCACAAUGGGCGAAAGCCUGAUGCAGCGACGCCGCGUGGGGGAUGAAGGCCUUCGGGUUGUAAACUGCUUUUGCUCUGAACAAGGCAUGCCAGUGGGUGUGUUGAGUGUAGGGGUUGAUUAGCGCCGGCUAACUAC
rnacentral:rRNA from 1 species